rnacentral:rRNA from 1 species
GACGAACGCUGGCGGCGUGCUUAACACAUGCAAGUCGAACGGAAAGGCCCUUCUGUCGUGGGGUGCUCUAGUGGCGAACGGGUGAGUAACACGUGAGUAACCUGCCCUUGACUUUGGGAUAACUUCAGGAAACUGGGGCUAAUACCGGAUAGGAGCGCCUGCUGCGUGAUGGGGGUUGGAAAUUUUCCGCGGUUGGGGAUUGACGCGCGGCUUAUCAGCUUCGUGGUGGGGUAGUGGCUUACCAAGGCUUUGACGGGUAGCCGGCCUGAGAGGGUGACCGGACACAUUGGGACUGAGAGACGGCCCAGACGCCUACGGGAGGCAGCAGGGGGGAAUAUUGCACAAUGGGCGGAAGCCUGAGGCAGCAACGCCGCGUGCGGGAUGAUGGGCUGCGGGUUGUGAACCGCUUUCGGCUGUGACGAAGCGGGAGUGACGGUAAUGGGUAAAGAAGCACCGGCUAACUACGGGC